AUUGAACGCUGGCGGCAUGCCUAACACAUGCAAGUCGAACGGCAGCACAGCAGUAGCAAUACUGUGGGUGGCGAGUGGCGGACGGGUGAGGAAUACGUCGGAAUCUGCCCAGUCGUGGGGGAUAACUAGCCGAAAGGUUAGCUAAUACCGCAUACGACCGAGAGGUGAAAGCGGGGGGACCGCAAGGCCUCGCGCGAUUGGAUGAGCCGACGUCGGAUUAGCUAGUUGGCGGGGUAAAGGCCACCAAGGCGACGAUCCGUAGCUGGUCUGAGAGGAUGAUCAGCCACACUGGAACUGAGACACGGUCCAGACUCCUACGGGAGGCAGCAGUGGGGAAUAUUGGACAAUGGGCGCAAGCCUGAUCCAGCAAUGCCGCGUGUGU
rnacentral:rRNA from 1 species